AUUACAUCUGAUUUCUGAUAUAAAAUGUAUUAUAUCAUUGUAUCUCAGUAUAUAAGUAUAUAUAAUGGUACAAAAUAGUUACAAAAUUUACAAAACAUAUUAAAAAAUAUAUAAGUUAUGCAAAUGUAAGAACUUAACACAUACAGUCACAAAUUUUGGGAAUAUUUCUUCAAAAAUUUUAGACAUGGGUUUCUAUAUCUGUAUAUCAAGCUUUUUAGUUGUCUAGAGUAGUGGUUCUCAACCUGUGGUCCGUGCAUCCCUGGGAGACUGCACUGUUGUCACAGAUUCCGCAAAGGCUUGAAGAAUUGUUAUGAUUUAAAUCUUGGGUUAAGUCUUAGAGGUCUGUGGCCACAAAAGAUAUUUCAAGAGGGUCCAUGGUGGAAAAAAAGUUUAGAACCACUGACCUAGAGUACUACGGUAUCAUUUACUACUUUUGAAUUAUGGACCUUACCACUCUACAGAUGAAAAGUAUGUCUUUUUUCUGCUUUUUUUCCUCAUGAGUGCUGAACAAAUGGCAAAUGAAUCCCUAUGACAGAGGAAAUGCAUUUGCUAUUGGAGCUGAUGGUCUGUGCUGCCAAAGCAGGAAAUAAAAGAAUGGCAUGGAUGUCGAUCAACUAAAGGUGUAACUAAAGGUACUAAACAACAGGGGUUAUGCUUAUGUGUGAAAAAUUAGAAACACUUGAGUCAAAAUAUUCAGAGUUUUCU
ensembl:lncRNA